GAGUUUGAUCCUGGCUCAGAGCGAACGCUGGCGGCGUGCUUAACACAUGCAAGUCGAGCGAAGGCACCUCGGGUAGCAAUACUUGGGUGUACUUAGCGGCGGACGGGUGAGUAACACGUGGAUAAUCUGCCUUUAGGACUGGAAUAACCCUGGGAAACUGGGGCUAAUACCGGAUGAGACCACGAUAGUCUGAGGGUAUUGGGGUAAAAGGUGGCCCUUUGGGCUAUUGCCUGGAGAUGAGUUCAUGUCCCAUCAGGUAGUUGGUGAGGUAACGGCUCACCAAGCCUAAGACGGGUAGCUGGCCUUAGCGGGUGGUCAGCCACACGGGAACUGAGAGACGGUCCCGACUCCUACGGGAGGCAGCAGUGGGGAAUAUUGGGCAAUGGGCGAAAGCCUGACCCAGCGACGCCGCGUGGGGGAAGAAGGUCUUCGGAUCGUAAACCCUUGUUGGGAGGGACGAUGGGCACGUAUGUUAAUACCAUAUGUGCUUGACGGUACCUCUUGAGGAAGCCCCGGCUAACUCCGUGCCAGCAGCCGCGGUAA
rnacentral:rRNA from 1 species